rnacentral:lncRNA from 1 species
UUCUACCCUUUGCAUUACAAAUGGGCCAUUUAGGCCCAACGUUUUCCUUUAUCAAGUCAACCAGCUUAAAGUCGACGAACAGGUCUCAAAAAGUAUAAAAAGAGGUUGUAUACAAGAUGUAUACAGCUGUAUACACUUAUAUACAGGUAAAAAAUGUAGGAAUACAGGGAUGGGACGAAGUAUAUGUGUUUGGAAGCAAGAAAUACAUGAAAAGAGCUGAUAUACAUGCCGAUAUACACUGAUAUACAUGAGCUGUAUACCAAAAACGGGUUUUGUUUAAACCCCAAAAAACAGUAUGUUGGUUCAUUUCAUCGAAUGUUUUCUCCAAUAUUAAAUUGUUAAUGGACGAUACUUAUGUGUUUUUUUUGUUUUUUGUUUUGUUUUUUUAUGUAUGUGAUCUAUCGAGGAGUCCUUUGGGACUUGGGCUUCUACCCUUUGCAUUACAAAUGGGCCAUUUAGGCCCAACGUUUUCCUUUAUCAAGUCAACCAGCUUAAAGUCGACGAACAGGUCUCAAAAAGUAUAAAAAGAGGUUGUAUACAAGAUGUAUACAGCUGUAUACACUUAUAUACAGGUAAAAAACGUAGGAAUACAGGGAUGGGACGAAGUAUAUGUGUUUGGAAGCAAGAUAUACAUGAAAAGAGCUGAUUUAUAUGCUCAUAUACACUGAUAUACGCCCAGUGUAUACGCAAAAAUGGGAAUUGGAUUAGCCCAAAAUUCCAGCGAAUUUGGCCCAAAAGGAGGCCCAAAUUCAUUUUCUCCCUUACUCUUUAAUUAUUUAAUUGUGAUUAUUUAUUGUUUGUUGUUUAACUCUAACUUUAUAAUUUUUAAUUAACCUAAUUAGACUCCCCAAAAGAUAAGUUAUCUUCUUUGUGUUGGUUAACUUUU